AAUCCCUGGAGCACCGAGGGGACACCGAGGGGACAGCCCAGGACACACAGAGGGAGCACAGGCAAAGGACACAGCGAGGGGACACCGAGGGGACAGUGACAGCCCAGAACACACCGGGGGGACACAUCCAGGGGGGACACAGGAGCAGGGGGGGCAGGAUGGAGCCCGGGCUGAGCCCAGGUGAGCCCAGGUGAGCCCCAGCUGUGCCCAGCUGAGCCCAGGCACACCCAGCCGUGCCCAGGUGAGCCCCAGCCGUGCCCAGGUGAGCCCAGGUGAGCCCAGCCG